UCGCCCGGAGCUUGAGGACAGAUCGUCUCUCAUUCACUCACCCAGCUAACAUACCUGACACACCAUGAUGCCGAAGUCAAGUGAAUGUUUUUUAUAUGGCAUCGAAGUUCUAUGUCUGGAACUAAGUGUAACCCAACAGCUAAUGCUCACUGUAACAGCAUGCUGAGAUAGGAACAGGAAGUGCACAGAGAAGAGGAAAGAAAGAUAAAACAGGGCGACUAUUCAAGCCAAACUGCUCUGAGAAAUGUCCACUCAAGCUGCCAGGGACUUAAAUACCAAAGGAAAGAAAAUGAUGUUUGCAUACAGCACGCUGCAUUUCUGGAUCCUGUGCUUACGGAAGGUACACCCGAGCGAAGGGCUGAGAUGUAUGCAGCUUGCAAAGAAACAAAUGCUGUCAGGACAUCAGUCAAAUCCUCCACAAGCCCUACAAUAAAGACAAACUUGCCUCGACUACAGCAGCUGAGAGGCUACAAACUACAUUUCCCAGGAUCCCUUGCAGCUCCAGGUCUAUGCGUGAUGUGGACUCUGACAAGCAGACAUAUUCACAGGAGAUUCGGAAGGAGAAAAUGUGGAGCAGUGGCUGUACAGGGAAAUUGGCUGCUAUUAUGGACCCCGUGUGUGUGAUUGCCUGGGGGCUGCUAUGGCAGAUUCUCAUGUCCACUACCUAGUAACAGCAAAGCUGAGUAUGAGCAACAUUAGCAAGGGAGUAACUGCCAGAACAGUCUUGGUUCUCUUGCGUUCAUAAUAUCUUGUAAUAAACCGUUCUCUGCUUAAAUCUGGUACAGUAGCUUCUGUUACCUAUAACUAUUAACAACAAUCAAAACAACUUCUUGCCCUUAUCCUUUCAUUUUUUUCCCUUACUGAGGACUGUCCCCACCUCAUACUUACAGAAGAUGCUUCAAAUACAUGCGCCAAAACCCUACUUGAGAAAUGACAAAUCUCACUAAUCUUGAGUAUGCCUUCUAUUUGCAUUAGCGCUCAUGGACUGGUUCAUUCAUUUAACAAAGAUCUGCUAAAGGAUGACUUGUGUUAGGCACUGAGCCACCAUGGAACCACACAAUUCUUGCCUUCAUGGAGACUUCCAGGAGCUUACCAUCUAGUGUGAAAAGAGUAGCUACAUUUAUUUAGCAUCUACUACGGCCAGACACUACAAUUAACACCCUAAAUAUUAAACUCCUAUAACC